UGAUGAGACAUCUCCGGAAUCGCUGCACGUCCUUGAUGAUUCCCCUGAACCCUGAGUGUCUGAUGGCUGCGGCUGGGC